CGGAGGGAUCAUUAAAGAGUUCUAUAACUCCCAAACCCAUGUGAACAUACCUAACGUUGCCUCGGCAGGUCGCACCUACCUUGUAGCACCCUACCCUGUAGGGCCUACCCGGGAGGUGCGGGUAAGCCUGCCGGCGGCCCACCAAACUCUGUUUGAUAUUGAAUUCUGAACCUAUAACUAAAUAAGUUAAAACUUUCAACAACGGAUCUCUUGGUUCUGGCAUCGAUGAAGAACGCAGCGAAAUGCGAUAAGUAAUGUGAAUUGCAGAAUUCAGUGAAUCAUCGAAUCUUUGAACGCAUAUUGCGCCCAUUAGUAUUCUAGUGGGCAGGACCGUUCGAGCGUCAUUUCAACCCUUAAGCCUUCGUUGCUUAGUGUUGGGAGCCUACGGCAACGUAGCUCCUCAAAGUUAGUGGCGGAGUUGGUUCACACUCUAGACGUAGUAAUUUUUUAUCUCGCCUAUUAGUUGGACUAAUCCCCUGCCGUAAAACCCCCAAUUUAUCAAGGUUGACCUCGAAUCGGUUCAGACAAACUCGCUAAAUUGAAGCAUCUUAGUCAGCGAAGGAAAAGAAACCAACAGGGAUUGCCCUAGUAACGGCGAGUGAAGCGGCAACAGCUC
rnacentral:rRNA from 1 species